rnacentral:miRNA from 1 species
GAGUUUGGAACAAGUUGUUAACAAUUUGUAACGGCCUUGAUGGCAUUAUCAGACUUGUUGCAAGGUUGUUCUACCAAGUCUGAUACAGUCAUGAUAAACAAGAAUGUUACAAGGUUGACGACACAAGGUUGUAACAAUAUUGUUAUCACGACUGUAUCGGACUUGUUGGAACAACCUUGUAACAAGUCUGAUAAUAUCAACAAGGGUGUUACAAAUUGUUAACAGCUUGUUCCAAACUU